GACGAACGCUGGCGGCGUGCCUAAUACAUGCAAGUAGAACGCUGAAGAGAGGAGCUUGCUCUUCUUGGAUGAGUUGCGAACGGGUGGGUAACGCGUAGGUAACCUGCCUUGUAGCGGGGGAUAACUAUUGGAAACGAUAGCUAAUACCGCAUAACAAUGGAUGACACAUGUCAUUUAUUUGAAAGGGGCAAUUGCUCCACUACAAGAUGGACCUGCGUUGUAUUAGCUAGUAGGUGAGGUAACGGCUCACCUAGGCGACGAUACAUAGCCGACCUGAGAGGGUGAUCGGCCACACUGGGACUGAGACACGGCCCAGACUCCUACGGGAGGCAGCAGUAGGGAAUCUUCGGCAAUGGGGGCAACCCUGACCGAGCAACGCCGCGUGAGUGAAGAAGGUUUUCGGAUCGUAAAGCUCUGUUGUAAGUCAAGAACGAGUGUGAGAGUGGAAAGUUCACACUGUGACGGUAGCUUACCAGAAAGGGACGGCUAACUACGUGCCAGCAGCCGCGGUAAUACGUAGGUCCCGAGCGUUGUCCGGAUUUAUUGGGCGUAAAGCGAGCGCAGGCGGUUUGAUAAGUCUGAAGUUAAAGGCUGUGGCUCAACCAUAGUUCGCUUUGGAAACUGUCAAACUUGAGUGCAGAAGGGGAGAGUGGAAUUCCAUGUGUAGCGGUGAAAUGCGUAGAUAUAUGGAGGAACACCGGUGGCGAAAGCGGCUCUCUGGUCUGUAACUGACGCUGAGGCUCGAAAGCGUGGGGAGCGAACAGGAUUAGAUACCCUGGUAGUCCACGCCGUAAACGAUGAGUGCUAGGUGUUGGAUCCUUUCCGGGAUUCAGUGCCGCAGCUAACGCAUUAAGCACUCCGCCUGGGGAGUACGACCGCAAGGUUGAAACUCAAAGGAAUUGACGGGGGCCCGCACAAGCGGUGGAGCAUGUGGUUUAAUUCGAAGCAACGCGAAGAACCUUACCAGGUCUUGACAUCCCGAUGCUAUUUCUAGAGAUAGAAAGUUACUUCGGUACAUCGGUGACAGGUGGUGCAUGGUUGUCGUCAGCUCGUGUCGUGAGAUGUUGGGUUAAGUCCCGCAACGAGCGCAACCCCUAUUGUUAGUUGCCAUCAUUCAGUUGGGCACUCUAGCGAGACUGCCGGUAAUAAACCGGAGGAAGGUGGGGAUGACGUCAAAUCAUCAUGCCCCUUAUGACCUGGGCUACACACGUGCUACAAUGGUUGGUACAACGAGUUGCGAGUCGGUGACGGCAAGCUAAUCUCUUAAAGCCAAUCUCAGUUCGGAUUGUAGGCUGCAACUCGCCUACAUGAAGUCGGAAUCGCUAGUAAUCGCGGAUCAGCACGCCGCGGUGAAUACGUUCCCGGGCCU
rnacentral:rRNA from 1 species